GCCCCGAUAGCUCAGCAGGACAGAGCAGUGGUUUCCUAAACCAAAGGUCGGGAGUUCGAGUCUCUCUCGGGGCACCA
rnacentral:tRNA from 2 species